CCACAAUGAUCCCGAACCAAAACUGGACUUCCGCCCUUUUCCCCCCUCACUCACCGUGAACAGACCAGCACGGCAGCACCCAAGUCCUCCCAUGGAAAUAGUUCAGUUCUUAGGUGUUCUAACCAACACCAAAGUCUAUUCACUUUACCAAGGGAUCAACAAGUGAGGACUUUGUGGGUCACUUUUAUUUUUAACGGACCGGUGCCAGAAACACUGCCUCAGCAUUUUUACGUAUGUGCAUUUCAAACGAGGGUGCGUACAAUGCUGUAUUUGUUUCACGGCUCCUGUUGGAAAAAAAGGAUCUAUUCCUACAGUCCGUCAUCCACUCACUGAAGGAGGCACAUCCCAGUUACCUACAUGCAAGGAGGCUGUCAAACAGAGAAAUCACUGCAGACUGUUGGUACACGGACAUCUGCUGCCCAGCUCAGGAGUAAAGUACCUUUUGUUUUGAUGAGGUGAUGGUGAGGACAGCCACAGCUUCCAUCAGGUAGAGGACUGCUUCCGCUCAGUCUUCCAAAUAGUGAUGAGAACAAGGAUCACCACAUCUCCCUGUUUACCCUACUUUCAUGCAUUUCGUCUGCAAGGCCCUGCAAAAGCUUCUGUCCUCAAACCCCCAGACUUCUUAAUUAACUCAGUAACCUAUACAUUGCACAUUGGAGUGUGAAGGUAACAGUUUGUUUUGGAGUAGUGGUGUAUUUUUUUGGUUUACAAUAAAGUUGGCUUUAACUAUUAUGUAUUUCACUGAACUCUGUUUUUGAAGGGAAAACACUUUUAUUUAGGAAAUCAUAGUAUUGAAAUUACAUGUUUUUCUCUUUCUAAUAUGGUAAGCUAUAAAGUUGAAGCGGCCAUAAAUAAAACGCAUAUAAAUUAUAUAUAAAUAAAAUAAAAAAAAUUCUUAAUGAGUGUUGCACUCACAAAAAACACAUUUUUACUCAAAUGGUAAAGGAGUUAUUCUACAGGUGGUCUACAUCAAUCAUACUAUGAGUGUUUUAGUGUUUUAUCCAUCAGGAAACUGCCUUCAUCUACAACCCAAGCAUGAAGAAGCAUGAAGAGAUGGCAACUCAGAUUCUUCACCCCAGGAAUCCUCAGCACCAGCUCACUAGCCUCUGAAGACUAGAUACCUGUAACAACUUUAGAUACAGAGACAUAUUACUGUCAGAUUUAUCAUGAAUGACAAAAAACAUAAUUAAAAGCAGUAAAAAUAUGUUAGGUCAAUAUAUAAUUUGAACCAAUGCUUUUUGUUCCCAGGAAGGUCAUGCAGUGAUUGCUCUAAAUAUUAAUGCACAUUUUUUAAAUAAAAUUAUGUCAGAGCAGCAGCACAAGUAAGACAAAAACAGUGAAAUGUGUAAAUGUAAAAUGUAUUUAUUAUUUCAGCUAUGCUCUCAAACUUAUUUAUUUGUAUAAUGUAAGCUAAAGUAUUGUUUUCUAUUAACGAGAGUUUUCCAGAUAAGUCGUGUUGUGAAUAUUGAAGCUGCACACGCCAUUUAGCAUACGCAUUAGCAACCGCUAGUCACUUUGCAAAUUACAUAAAUCAAUUAAAUUGAAGUAAAUGCGACAUUACCAAUGAGACACAUCUUGCAUCAGCCGAAAUGUGGCGACUUCA